CUGGCCGCUCUUCCCGCCCCGGUUUCCCUCCGCCGCCUUCCGCGCACCCCUUCUCUUCCUCGCACUCUCCCGCGGUGCGAUCCCGCCCUCCGCACUACACACCUCACUCCUCUCAAUUUUCUUCCACUUCUCUCUCACCUCCUUUCCCCGCUCCCGGCUCCUCGCCCUUCCCUCACAUCCCUUCUUUCUCGGCCUCUUCCCGCCUCUGCUCUGCUCUUUCCUGCCGGCCGCUCGCACGCUCGCUGGCUCUCCACACUCCCGUAUUCAUUUUUCUCCUUUUCUCUCUUUCCCGCCUGCUGUGUCCCCUUCCUCCGCUUUCCUUCCUUCUGCCUGCUCUGCUCUCCUCCCCUGUCCCGCUCGGCUUUGGCCUUUGCAUCCGGGCCGCCAGCAAGCUCUCCGCUCCUUGCUUCCCCCUUUCUCUCCCUUUCCUUCCCCUCUCCUCUCCCGCCGUCUGGGCUUUUUUAUCCCGUCUGCCUUGGCUGCUCCCGGGCCGCUCCUCCGCCUGGCCUUCCAUUUCCGACUCUGUCCCAUCGUCUCUCUCCCUCCUUCUCCUUCCCCCAGCCUCGCUCUCCCCGCCACGGUCUCCUUUCCUCACCUCUCUCUGCCUGCUUAGCUGGGGACCGCCCCCCACCCCAGCCUGUCUUCUCUCUCAUCUCUCGCUUCCUUUUCCCCUCUCCUCAUUCGUUUUUUUCCCCCUACACUUUCUCUUCAUCUUUCCUCUUUGCUCCCCUCUCUUGCUCAUCUCCAUCCCUUCUCUCCCCACUGCUCUUCUCUCUCCCCCCCCCUUCCAAUCUCUCUUGCUCUUUCCUUUCUCUCCUUUUUGAAUCUGUCACCUCUUCUCUCCUGCCAGACUUCUCCCCUCCACUGGCCUCCUUUCCUCUGCACCUUGUCUCCCAGUGUCAGGGAGGCCCCUCCAGGCUCUGCCAGCCACAUCCUCUCCCUUUGCCUCCCCUCCUUCCCUCUCCCUUCCUGAAGUUCGGAGCUGACAUCCUCCCAGGGAUCUGCGCAGCCUGGAACAGGGCUGCCAAGCCAGGCCUUCCCACCCCCACCCCACCCCCGAGGGUGGAAGGGCCUCUGUGA
rnacentral:lncRNA from 1 species